UACGGAGGGUGCAAGCGUUGUUCGGAAUUACUGGGCGUAAAGCGCCUGUAGGUGGUUUAAGAAGUCGGGUGUGAAAACCCCGGGCUCAACCCGGGAACUGCGCCCGAAACCAUUAAGCUUGAGUGCCAAAAGGGUACGUGGAAUUCCAAGUGUAGCAGUGAAAUGCGUAGAUAUUUGGAGGAACACCGGUGGUGCAGACGACGUACUGGGUGGCAACUGACACUGAGAGGCGAAAGCGUGGGUAG
rnacentral:rRNA from 1 species